ACGAGCUCUCCAAAUUGAUUUUAUGCUUGCAUAAAUGAUUUUUGGAUUCGGAGCGAGUGGCGAACUGGUGAGUAACACGUGGGUAACCUGCCCCGAAGCGGGGGAUAACAUUUGGAAACAAGUGCUAAUACCGCAUAAUUAGUUGGAACCGCAUGGUUCCAACUUGAAAGAUGGCUCUGCUAUCACUUUGGGAUGGACCCGCGCCGUAUUAGUUAGUUGGUGAGAUAAAAGCCCACCAAGACGAUGAUACGUAGCCGACCUGAGAGGGUAAUCGGCCACAUUGGGACUGAGACACGGCCCAGACUCCUACGGGAGGCAGCAGUAGGGAAUCUUCCACAAUGGACGAAAGUCUGAUGGAGCAACGCCGCGUGAGUGAUGAAGGUUUUCGGAUCGUAAAACUCUGUUGUUAAAGAAGAACAAGUGUUAGAGUAACUGUUAACACUUUGACGGUAUUUAACCAGAAAGCCACGGCUAACUACGUGCCAGCAGCCGCGGUAAUACGUAGGUGGCAAGCGUUGUCCGGAUUUAUUGGGCGUAAAGCGAGCGCAGGCGGUUUUGUAAGUCUGCUGUGAAAGCCCUCAGCUCAACUGAGGAAGUGCAGUGGAAACUACAAAACUUGAGUACAGAAGAGGAAAGUGGAACUCCAUGUGUAGCGGUGAAAUGCGUAGAUAUAUGGAAGAACACCAGUGGCGAAGGCGGCUUUCUGGUCUGUUACUGACGCUGAGGCUCGAAAGCAUGGGUAGCGAACAGGAUUAGAUACCCUGGUAGUCCAUGCCGUAAACGAUGAAUACUAGGUGUUGGAGGGUUUCCGCCCUUCAGUGCCGCAGCUAACGCAUUAAGUAUUCCGCCUGGGGAGUACGACCGCAAGGUUGAAACUCAAAGGAAUUGACGGGGGCCCGCACAAGUGGUGGAGCAUGUGGUUUAAUUCGAUGCUACGCGAAGAACCUUACCAGCUCUUGACAUCUUCUGCCAACCCAAGAGAUUGGGCGUUCCCUUCGGGGACAGAAUGACAGGUGGUGCAUGGUUGUCGUCAGCUCGUGUCGUGAGAUGUUGGGUUAAGUCCCGCAACGAGCGCAACCCUUAUUAUUAGUUGCCAGCAUUUAGUUGGGCACUCUAGUGAGACUGCCGGUGAUAAACCGGAGGAAGGUGGGGACGACGUCAAAUCAUCAUGCCCCUUAUGAGCUGGGCUACACACGUGCUACAAUGGAUGGUACAACGAGUCGCGAAACCGCGAGGUCAAGCUAAUCUCUUAAAGCCAUUCUCAGUUCGGAUUGCAGGCUGCAACUCGCCUGCAUGAA
rnacentral:rRNA from 2 species